UUUUCUUUCUUUUUCCCUUUUUCUUUUCUCUCGUAUAUUUCCCCCGCAGAUGAGACCCCCUGCAACUCUGGAACCGGCGAACGGCGGCGCCGCGGCGCCGCCUCGCGGCCGCGCAGGACGGACCGCGACUGCCGCGGCCAGAAACUGAAGAGUAAAUUCACCAUCCUUUUGCCCAUGAGCAGCACUGCAGCAGCAAAGGACUAGUCUAUCGCGGAGAGAUGAGACCGUUUUACAGUAUGUGAUCGGCGAGGCAACAGCGUCGAGAGGGAACUGCGUAGUUGAACGCCGCCCGGCAGUGUCGCGGUCAACACGUGUAGGCGGAUGAUUUUGGAGAAGAGCAUACAAGUGGAGGGCGAGCGUGUGAGCAUGACUUCGGAGAAGGCGCGUGUGGAGGGCAAGGCGACACGCUGAGCAGAUGAGCGGAGACACGCUGCUUUUGAACGUUUUCUACGGAUUUCUCUGCGUUUUUAGACUAUGGUGAUGCCGAUGGAGCAGGCGUGUUUCUGGUUUCAAGUUGGACCAGUUGCUUCUUUGUUUCGUGGCUCUACAUCAUCAGUCGCGGUCGGUACAAUGAACGUCCUGCGCAAAUGGGCCAGCACCACACCAAUUUUUUUUUACUUUGCAGACAGCUAAUCCAGCGCUGCUGAUGUGGUCAGUAAGAAGCGAGUUGUGAUUGGUCUGGCCAGUUGUGUAAGGUCAACUUGACAGGCUCCACGCGCCUGGCUGGCUGCUGGCUCCUGUCUGGACUGUCUUGUGAGAAAACAAACGGGGGCUGCUUUGAGUUUU